ACUGAGCGGCGACGGGUGAGUAACGCGUGGGCAACCUGCCUUACACAGGGGGAUAACAGUUAGAAAUGACUGCUAAUACCGCAUAAGACCACAGGACUGCAUGGUCCGGUGGUAAAAACUCCGGUGGUGUAAGAUGGGCCCGCGUCUGAUUAGGUAGUUGGCGGGGUAACGGCCCACCAAGCCGACGAUCAGUAGCCGACCUGAGAGGGUGACCGGCCACAUUGGGACUGAGACACGGCCCAGACUCCUACGGGAGGCAGCAG
rnacentral:rRNA from 1 species